UGAUGUCGAUGGAGUGUAAAUGAGUCUUUUAUGCACGCUUGUGGUUCUAAGAGGUUUAUGUAUUUUCAGACAAUAUAGGCGUAGUAGAAGUCCAAGCAGGGGCAGAAGUUCUAGAAGAUAUCGUUCACGCUCUCGCUCCCAGUCCAGUUCUAUAAUAUCUCCCUGGUCUCGUUCCAUAUCUCGCUCUCGCUCCCCAAGGGUGAGAAGCCGCUUGAAGUACUAAUAAGGCAAAGAAGUCGCAGCAGGUUUGGAUGUUGUAUAAGUGAUUACAGGUUUUUGCAAAGUUGUUGCAAGCUCCUAUUGACAUGGCCAAGGCUAUAGUAAAGAUGCGAUUUCCCGUACCUCGUUUAGUCACCUGUGAUCAGCAUGGUUCUCAGGCUAGGAUGGGAUCUGUUCUAAAAAAUUGGCUAUACCACAUAGGCUUGGUAUACAAGAGGUUCUGUUUGAGUAUUAAAGUUAUAAAUUUGGGUGUUUCCAACUGUUAAGUUGUUACUUGUCUUGUGCAGUUUGUUUCACAUCUAAAUAACGUUAUUUAGAUGUGUAAUGGUUAACUUUAGAAUUGUAAAUGAGUUUGUAUUUGAAUU